rnacentral:tRNA from 2 species
GGGGUGGAGCAGCUCGGUAGCUCGUCGGGCUCAUAACCCGAAGGUCGUCGGUUCAAAUCCGGCCCCCGCAACCA